UUUCAAAAGAGGGGUAGGUGCAAGAGCUGCCAUUGAAAUUAGAUGGAUCUUAAAAAAAGCUAAAGAAAAAUAUAAGAGAAUAAUGGAGAGAGGCUUAAGACAGAAG